AGUAUCGUAGGGAAAUUCCAAGCACGUUGAAAACCUUCUUGGGGAUCGUUUUAAAACAUUUUAAAAUGGAAACAUCAAAUGAAUUUCCCUAGAAGAGGGAUGGUUUCAUUUCUUGGGACGAUCUCAUCUAUUAAGUACUUUUGAAGAGUACUUGCUAUUUGAAACGUGAAAAUUUUAAAAAUAAAUAUAUGGCGGUACUGCCUGCACCUUCCCGGACCUCGGUUCUCCCUUCUGUAAAAUGGAGUCAGAAAAGAUGGUUCCCAAAUUCCCCUUCCAGGUCUGUAGGUUGGAAGUCCGAAAUGGGUCUGUCGGCUAAAAUCAAGUGUCUGCAGGGCCGCAUUCCUGUCUGGAGUUGCCUGGCGAGAUUCAGUUGCCCGCUAAUUUGAGUUGGGGGCAGAAUUCAGUCCCUUGCAAUUAUCGGGCUGACGCCCCAGUUUUCUUGCUGGCUGUGAGCUGAGGGCCAUUCUCUGCUUCUAGAGGCCCUCACCUUCCUUGGGUCCCUUCCUCCAUCUUAGAGGCAGCAACGGUGAGUUGGGUCUUCUUGAUGUCCACUCUCUGACCCACUCUUCUCCCAUUUUAAAGGCUCGUGUGAUUAGAUUGGGCCCACCUGGAUAAUGCAGGCUAAUCUUCCCCAAUUCAAGGUCUAUAAUAUAAAUCUGCAAAGUCCCUUUUGUCAGGUAAGGUCCUUUAUUCACAAGUUCCAGGGAAUGAGGACAUGGACAUCUUUGGGGUGACCGUCAUUCUGCCCACCACAGGUCCCUUCCAGUCCUUACCUGAUCGUUCUAACUUAUCUCCACAUGAUGGCAGGAGAGAGGAUAAUCAUGUGAGAACGGAGGCCAAUAUUGAUUCUCGUACGAAUUUCUUGCUUGUGUUCAGAAGACGAGGCUGGAGAAGACCAUGUUUGCCCC
rnacentral:lncRNA from 1 species